CCACCAUGUCGCCGCCAUUUUAACUUCCUGCAUCAAAGGAAGACGCGCAAAUCGUACAGCACCCGUACUCGAAAACGUUUCGUCGUUAUUUAGUGUAUCAAAGGGGGUUUGUCUUUGGUUAUUGUUUUCUCUUUCAGGGAUCGAACCGACUAACGUUACACCGGUAGAGCCUCAGACCGCUCGUAUCGGGUAGUCAGCCGGAGGGUCGCUAUGCCGAGCCACCCGCUGCGUGUAGCGGUUGUGUGCUCGAGCAACCAGAACCGCAGUAUGGAAGCGCACAGUAUCCUCAGCAAACGUGGAUUUGAUGUGCGUUCAUUUGGGACAGGCUCUCAUGUGAAGCUACCUGGUCCUGCCCCGGAUAAACCAAAUGUGUAUGACUUCAAAACGACAUAUGUACAGAUGUACAACGACUUGGUCCGCAAGGACAAGGAACUAUACACACAGAACGGCAUCCUGCACAUGCUGGACCGCAACAAGCGGAUCAAGUCAAAGCCGGAGCGCUUUCAGAGCUGCAAGGACAAGUUUGACCUGGUCAUCACCUGUGAAGAGAGAGUCUAUGACCAAGUGCUGGAGGAUCUGAACUCAAGAGAGCAGGAGACUCUACAGUCCGUGCACGUCAUUAAUGUAGACAUUCAGGAUAACCACGAGGAAGCCACGCUGGGCGCCUUCCUCAUCUGUGAGCUGUGUCAAUGUAUCCAGCACACGGAGGACAUGGAGGAUGAAAUGGAUGAGCUCAUACAGGAGUUUGAGGAGAAGAGCAACAGGCCGUUUCUUCACACUGUCUGUUUCUACUGAUACAAGAUAGUGUUAUUGCAAUGAACAGACUGGGAUCACAAGCAAUCAAACUGUAGUUUACACACACACACACACACACACUUAACUCCUUGACCAUCUACAGGAAAGUACAUACAUGUUGUUUGCCUACACAGCCACACUUGCGCAGACACAGCUUUGGGUUAGGACCUAACAAUGGCUGCUGCUGGGCCUACUGACAUGUUUCCUCUGCAGAGGACAGACUCGCUGCUCUCUGCCUUUAUUUCAGCCCAUCAAGGUCAGCCCAAGGUCCUCCCUCCAUCCAUCUCAGUUCAGUACAAUCACUCAACCAUGUCUCCUCUGGGAGAGCCCCAACACCCCUGAUCCAACAACUGCUUUACCGGUCACUCUUUGUUUUGUUAAGUACAGUCUAUUAAUGCUGAUUUUAUUUUUCUCCACCUGAUAUUAUAAUUGUAAUUCAUUUAAGCAUAUAAGUCAGGCUUUUCUUCUUGACUUGGGACAGUGAAAGUGUGUUUCUUGGGUUCAGCAGGGAAAUUAAUUUAACUGAAAGUGUUUUUGUGCAACCAUGUGUUGUAGAUUAGUUUGGUUAAAGUGGGUGGGCUGAUAAUGAAUUAUCUAACCUAGACUUAUCUAAGUCUCUCCACCAAAUGUGUUUCCAAUAUCUGCACAUUCAUAUUUAAACUCAGAUAUGCUGUUUUUCAAAGCAUAGUUUUCCUUUUGUAAAUGUUUAAGAAUUCAAGCAUUGUAAUUAUUUGCAAACUGCGAGCUCCGCUCAGAGUGCCUGAUUUUUCUGUAUGUACAUAUGACUAAAGAAACCUCUCUUAAAAAAAAAAAAAAAAAAAACCUGUCACGACUCUUUGGGAUGUUUACCUGCAGCUUAAGCUUGUGGUGCUAUAAAAAAAAGGUUACCAUGGCAACUCGAUUCAUUCAUUACGAGCACACCACCACCGCCACCACACACUCACAUCCAUUACACGUUACCUGUGAUUGGUUACACCCUUGCCCCC